rnacentral:rRNA from 1 species
ACCUGCCCCGGAGCGGGGGAUAACAUUUGGAAACAGAUGCUAAUACCGCAUAACGAUAAAAGCCGCAUGGCUUUUAUUUGAAAGAUGGCUUUGGCUAUCACUCUGGGAUGGACCUGCGGUGCAUUAGCUAGUUGGUAAGGUAACGGCUUACCAAGGCGAUGAUGCAUAGCCGAGUUGAGAGACUGAUCGGCCACAAUGGAACUGAGACACGGUCCAUACUAAUACGGGAGGCAGCAGUAGGGAAUCUUCCACAAUGGGCGCAAGCCUGAUGGAGCAACACCGCGUGAGUGAAGAAGGGUUUCGGCCCGUAAAGCUCUGUUGUUGGAGAAGAACGUGCGUGAGAGUAACUGUUCAUGCAGUGACGGUAUCCAACCAGAAAGUCACGGCUAACUACGUGCCAGCAGCCGCGGUAAUACGUAGGUGGCAAGCGUUAUCCGGAUUUAUUGGGCGUAAAGCGAGCGCAGGCGGUUACUUAGGUCUGAUGUGAAAGCCUUCGGCUUAACCGAAGAAGUGCAUCGGAAACCGGGCGACUUGAGUGCAGAAGAGGACAGUGGAACUCCAUGUGUAGCGGUGGAAUGCGUAGAUAUAUGGAAGAACACCAGUGGCCAAGGCGGCUGUCUGGUCUGCAACUGACGC